rnacentral:rRNA from 1 species
UCGCUACUACCGAUUGAAUGGCUUAGUGAGCUCUGGGGACCGGGGCUGCGGUUGGGUUUCCUUCCGUCUGCCCUGUGGAACCAGAUCAAACUUGAUCAUUUAGAGGAAGUAA